rnacentral:misc_RNA from 1 species
AAAAUAUCGACACUUUUUCACAAAUUCUUCAAAACUCUGAGAUGGGGUUGAGUUUUAGUUUAUGUUGAUUCAAGUUUAGCUCUCAAAUCUUUUGCAUCUACAAACAGGAAAAGAGAACAGAAAAAAUGAUACAGUAAAUAGAUAGAUAGAUGGUAUAGUGUAUACAUUGUGAAUUCUGUAUGUAUGUGUAGCUUUUUGUUGAUCUGAGCUUGACCCAUUUGAGAUCUUGGGAUGUUAGUAUGAGG